rnacentral:tRNA from 1 species
AGAAGGUUAGUCUAACCAAGACAGUUGAUUUCGACUCAACAAAUCAUAGCAGACCCCUAUGACCUUCUA